rnacentral:misc_RNA from 1 species
AACGCAUAUUGCGCCCUCUGGUAUUCCGGGGGGCACACCUGUCCGAGCGCCAUUUCGACCCUCAAGCUUUGCUUGGUGUUGGGCGAGGUCCUAGAGGACCCGCCCUUAACUUGUAGGCGGCCGAUGCCCCGCGCCCUCAGCGUAGCACGCUCACGCACCCGCUCGGGGACGGAGUACGGCCCGCCAAAAACCUUCCAAAGGUUUGGCCUCGGAUCAGGUGGGGAUACCCGCUGAACUUAA